rnacentral:lncRNA from 1 species
GGUUGGGUCAUAAGGGUGACCUCCCUUGGAAAAGGGAAAAAGAAAAAAAGUUGCUGAAAUUGUGUUUUUUUUCUUUCGUCAGUAAUUGCAUUGACAACAGCGAAAAUUGUGUAACGCUUCAGUUGAAAUGAUUCCGAUUACAGAACGUGCAGCAAAAGUUGGCUGGUAACCCUAGAAGAGAUGUCAAAUAUUAGGAGAAACUGUUCCAGGAAGAUUACCAGCUUCUGUAUAUGAUGUCAUCACACCAAAUGUGUAUUUUUUAUUAUUGGAUGAUACAGUCUCUGAUGUAAGCCGUGGCACUGGACAUAGCUCCAUAGACUUGUGCCAGCCAUGACACUUGGCUUAGGCCAGUAUUGGUUGUCAGUUAAGUACCUGGUUUGUGUUGUAUGACAAUGGUCAGAACUUAUAUCAUAAGCAAAUUUAGUUGCCAUGCUGUGCUACAGUGGCAUAGGUAAUUGCCAUAGUACUGCAGUGUGUUAGCCAUGGCAUUGUGCAAAGGCAACAGCAGUUUCAGCCAUGACAUUGAAGUGUUAGGUCAAUCACAUAAGGCCACUGCAAAGGCUAUUUAGGCCAAUCAUACAAGUCAGGCAUGAUUAUGUACAAUGAGGCAAAUAAUAGAAGUCAGUUGUGGCAAAGGACAUUAAGGACAGUCACAAAAGUCAGCCAUGGCAAUAGAGUAUCACUGAAGUUGGCCAUGGUAAAAUACAUUCAGGCCAGUCACUGGAGUCGGCCAUGGCAAUGGACAAUGUGGCCAAUCACUGGAAUCAGCCAUGGUAAUGAACAAUCUUAGCCAGUUACUUGAGUCAGCCAUGGCAAUGGACAGUCUGAGCUAGUCACUGGAGUCAGCCAUGGCAAUGGACAAUCUGAGACAGUUGUGGCAAUGGACAAUGUGGCCAGUCAUUGAAGUCAGCCAUGGCAAUGAACAGUGUGGCCAGUCACUGAAGUCAGCCAUGGCAAUGGACAAUCUAAUCUAGUCACUGGAGUCAGCCUUGGCAAUGGACAAUCUGGCCAGUCACUGAAGUCAGCCACGGCAAAGAACACGUGUCAUGUCAGCCACUGACACUGGAUUUAAGUUAGAUGCGGUUUUCAAUCAUUGUUACUGGACAUAUCUGUUUGGUACGUCAGCAAAGGUUUUCAAUUAAACUUAGUUGUUGCUUUAAGCUAUGGACAGAACUAGUCUUGUUGGAGUAGCAAUGGUACUGUACCUAAGCCAGUCAUUACAUCAGUUGAGACACUAGACACAAGGUUUUGGUCACGACACUGGAUGUAGUGUGUGGCAUGGCAUACAGCUUCUUAUUCACAAAAUGUGUUAGUGAAAUAAUAUAAGUUCAAAAAUUCAUUCAUAAUUGAAAUUGGGAAUGAAAAUUUGGAAUAUAUUAUGUGCUCUUGUGUAUCAGUGUGAUAUUUCUGGCAGCUUCAGUGGAAUUCAGUGUGAAAUGAGCACUGUUUCAGUGUAUAAUUCUUGUUGGAAUAUUAAAAUCGACAGAAUACAUAAGAAAAAAAGGAUUCCAAUAUGCCAAGAACAAUGGUGCAGCAAUAUAAAAGCAAUAAAGCAUUCGUACUGACAUACAGCUUAUUGUGAGGCAGAAAGAGGGAAUGCAGGGCACAGACAUUUUUUAUUGGAAGCAGAGUUGACAUUGAUUGCUUCCCCUGUCAGCCAAGAGGCUGUAUGAUCUGUCCAUGAACAAAGGUAAAAAGUCACUAGAACAGCCCAGAAUAUAAUGGAAGUGACAUCGAAUGACUAGAUAGACCUGAAGGAUUGUCUGACUGAAACAAAGGUGGUGUGCCAUUAUGAUAAACAUAUGGACGUUGAUUUUUCUCGGAUGAUGACGUGCAUCUUGUUUUCACAGCAGAAGAGGAGUGCAUGGUUUGCAGCGACAGUUUAUCAUAGAAAAAUAUGACAGUUUUUCCCUCAAAAUACACUGCAGUUUCGCUUGAGUGAUCAGUGGUGACUUUUACAUUACCAGAAAACAACAAGAUAAAUUACUAAAAAAAAUUUGUGUAUAACACUUGAGAAAGGAUACUUCAUGGAAACAAGAUGAAACAUUAUUACUGGAAACAUAAUUAAGACUUAUUUAAAAGAUUAGCUCGAGUUGAAUGACACUCGAAACACUUGUGUACAACAUAAGCUGAUAUUUUGUAUGUUGUAAAUCAUAAAAGUUGUAAUUUUUCUAGUUAUUCACUCACAGUUUAAGUAAAGAACUGUAUUUAAGAAGUGUCAUAUCCUUUGCUUGUAAUAAAUGUGAACAGAAAUUGAG